GGCCGGUAUUCUAGGCCCAAGCCCAGGCCCAGGCCUGUGUUCCCGGCCCUUGCUCAAAGACAGGCCGGUGGCCGCUGCGACACUCUAGGUACAGCGGAGGGCGCAGCGGGCCGUUCGCUGAGGUGUCCGGACCCGCCGCCGAGCGGGCCGUGGAGCCACAGUACGUGGCGGCGCCUCUUCCUUGCCCGAAGCGGAACUGCUGAAGGAGCGGCAGCGCAGGCCGGACGAGGUGAACCAGGUCAUUUAACCGCCUUCAGGGUCUCACUGUUGUGCAGUCUGGAGUGCAAUGGCACGAUGUGUGCUCACUGAAACCUCUGCCUCUCAUGUUCAGGCGAUUCUCCCACCUCAGCCUCCCGAUUAGCUGGGAUUACAGGCAGUAAGCUCCUACAGGACAUUUUAAAACUACAUAAAUGUGCCAUCCCCAGCUCAACCGAUUAUAAACAACUGCCGAAAGAUUGUGGGUACAAGCCAGCUGCCAUGUUGUGAGCACAUACCACAUAGCUCCAUGGAGAUGCCCAUGUGACUGUGAUGAAGAGCUAAGACUUCCUGUCAGUGGCCGUGUGAGUGACCCAUGUUAGAAACAGAUCCGCCAGCCCAAACAGAACCUUCAGACAACUGCAGCCCCAGCUGGCAUCUUGACUGCAACUCAUGAGCGAUUCUAAGCCCACCGAAGCUGCUCUUGAAUUAUUGAUUCACAAAAACUUUUAGGUAAUAAAUGUGUGUUGUUUUAAA
rnacentral:lncRNA from 10 species